UGGAUAUCAUGGGAUAAACUGGCAACACCAAAGGUUCAGGGUGGUAUGGGUUUUAGGGAGUUUCAGAGGUUCAAUCUCGCACUACUUGGCAAGCAUGGCUGGCGAUUCCUAACUGACCCAAACUCAAUGUGUGCGCGCGUCUUGAAGGGGAAGUACUUCCCAGAUUCAGAUUUUAUGCAAGCCCAUGCACCGUCUUCGGCGUCGGCCACUUGGAAGGCUAUCGUGGCGGGACGAUCGGCGCUUGAACUUGGUCUCAUUAAAUGCAUUGGCAAUGGCGAAUCAGUUUCUAUUUGA
rnacentral:rRNA from 1 species